CGGACUGGCCUCUGCCCGCGCUCUGUGUGGUCUUCUUGCUCUUGGACAGGAUUGUCUUUAACAGCUCAAAUCUAGAGAUAGGGCUGAGGGGUACAGCAGGGCUACUGGGUUCUCCACGGACACCCCUCACGAGCUCCUGUGUUCCAGAUGCAUUUGGUGAGCCUGUGGGACCCGCCAGGCGUGGCGCCGGGCCCAGCACCUGGCAAGGAAAGCCCUCCUCCCUUCUCUCCAGAAAGGCACAGAGAUGGUUCUCGCUCCUCACCUGCUGCACCAAGGCCGUGGGUUCAAUCCCACUGACUCUCUGGUUCAAAAGCCCAGGAUUCGCAGAACGUCAGAGAAAUCCAAGCGAGAACCAAAUUCCUCCACGUUCCCUCAUAAAGCCAAGGCACAGCACACGCCCAGCCUUCUAAGCGGCAUUUCGGAUCAUGAACAGACUUGCUGGUGCUAAACAGGCAUCACUGGGUGAAACCUCCUGCCUCCCUCAAAAUCACGUUGUGCGGAUUAAAUGUUCAAAGACAGCAGACAAACCUACGGCACUGCCAUGGGCCAUUAUCGCUAAUGGAUGCGAGAUGAGGUUAAGUCAGUCAAAUCCCUGCUCUGAGCCUAGAAAAGUCCACAGAAACCAAAUCCUGGUCACCAGAUUGAAAUUGAAAUCAGGUUUAAGUACAGAGAUGGAGGGACAGAUAGAAGGCAAUUCCAAUGGAUCAUUUGGGGAUCACCAUGACCCUCUUGAUGAUAGGGCAUCUGGCCUCCAUAUUGAAAUAAUGUAGCCCUUCUCUCUGAUUGGAGGAGGAAUAAGCACCUGACCCCAGAAGGGCCAAUCAGAGUCCGAGCUGGGUUUACUGGAAGAGAGAUCGGGGGCAGGCUGUAUGACUAGUCCCAGGGCAGGAUGGGUAACAAGAGAACUGGAACACACAGGGAGCCAUCUUGGAUGCUGCAUGGACAGAGCCGUACAAAAGCCAGGGACAAGGAACAAAGCUGUCACCGUGAAGUGACAUCGCUGAGAAAGACAUCGAGACUGGUCAUUUGGCGGGUUCAUGGCUUCCUGCAGCCUGUCGCUGAGGCACUCUGCCUCUCCAAAUACAUUGCCCCUUUUUGUUCCGGCAAGCUCAAGUUGUUCUCUGCCUCACAUCCAUACAAGGGAAAACUAUGCAGCCAACCAAACAAUGCUGUGGAAGAGUAUUUAUUAACAGGAAAAAUGUACACAAGAAUACUGCUGAGUGCAGAAAGCAUGUGCCUUUCCUUCCUCCAACAGAUCAUUUACUGGGUACCUCCCAUGAGUCAGAUGCUACAUACACACUAGGGAGAAAGGUCAUGGUCCCAGCUCCCCUCAAGUUUAUAGUCUGGUUGCAAGAUGUCACGUAAGAUCCCACUUCAGUCAAAAGAGAUGUGUAACCAGCAUGAGAUGGGUUUCACACCUGGGGGAGCAGAGGAAGUGCACUUAGAACAGUUCAAAACCAGCACUGCUCUAAGGGUGUGGUGUAGACCUCCUCCCCGAGCCUGGGAGCUGUCGAGAAAUGCAGAUUCUCAGCUCUGGCCCAGACCUCCCCUGGUGAGGCCCAGCAAUCUGUCUUGACAAGCCUUCCAGGUGAUUCUGAUGCAUUCACAACCCUGAGAACCACUUCCCUAAAGCACAGUGGCUCAAGGACCUCCCCCUUUCCAAGUAACAGGAAUUUCCAGCAUUUCCCUAGAUUCUCCUUCAAUGCUACAUUUUUAAGACCACCCAGGUAUGUAUGUGUGUGUCAGCAAGUAAUUAUAGCACUCAGUUAAGUAUAAUUUAUAGGUUAAUUAAUUGAAUUCUCAUAACAGCUCUAUAACAUAGGUGCUAUGUAUCCCCCUCUUUAUUGAUGAGAAAAUUGAGGCACAGAGAGGUUAAAUUAGUUGCCCAAAGUCACACAGCUAAGAAGUGCUUGAGAUGGGAUGCAAACCCAAGUAGCCCAGCUCUAGAAUCUGUGCUCUCAACCAUGGAGUUAAACUAGUUGUGAAGUUAGGUCCUUCCUGAGCCUCUCAUCGCACUGGUGGAAAUGGAGAGUUCCAGUCCAGGUGCCUGGACUUUGCAGCUGCUGGGUUUGGCCUCUCUAUGUCCUCCCUGAUCUGACCCUACUGUGUGACAUCUGUCACUCCUGCCUGGAUGCCCCAUCUGGGGAGGCUUCCCUGUCCCUCCACUCUGGAGUGCAGAGGUUCCUCUAGUUGAGAAGGGCCCUACAGCAAUGCUACCUGAGUCUCAAAGCAUUAGAACCUUCGAAAGGGGGGUACCCACACAGCUAGGCUGGCGCAGUCAGAAGGGUUAUAGGAUCAUAUGCAGAAGGAUCCCUUGCCUCCCACUUCCCCUGGGCUGGGCAUGAGUGCCUGUUUCCUGCUCCUGUGCACACUGUCCCUUCCUUCACAAGUGUCUCCUCUAAAAUCUUGUGGUCCUUUCUACCUGGCCUUGACCCAACUCAGAAAAAUCCCCAAGACAAGGCUGUUUUAUACCUUAGAAUCCCAAGGUGAAGUCCAGAAUUCUAGAUUCUUUAUUACUAGGAAAGUCCUUGGGGAAGGGGGGAUUUCUAGUUAAAGAAAGAUAAAGGCACGUGGCCCAGUUCACCCUCUAGAACCGACAAAGCUCCAAAUGCAGAUAGAAAUGUUGGCUGGGAAGUGAGACCUCCCAGCUCCACUCACCAGUCCUAUUCCUCAGCCCAGGGCUAUAUCCAGCCAAUAAACCCAGUUAUACCCUCAAAGAAACUGGGGGUGGACACUGACAAUCAUCCACAGAGGACAAGCUCAAGUCAUUAAAUAGUCAAGCAUUUCCAGCCUGGCUGGUAGAAGUUACCUCAGGUACCCCACACAAGCCACCUUACCUGCCCUGGGCCCACCCCAUGAUUCAGCAGCUAGAGGGUUAAUGUGUGGCCCUGCAAGGACCCCCACCCCCACCCCAGGGCUGUGGCCAUUAUCUCUUCCCAAAGACUAGUGCCCAGGAGGCUAAGAUCUAGAAAAAUACACACGAACUUGUUGAAAUGGUGCUUCCCCCUCCCCACCCCCAUAUUGGGAUUGUAGACCAUUUUCAUUUCCUUCUUGUUGCUUAUGCACAGUUUCAACUCUUCUAUAGGACACAGCGUUUGCCUAAGUAAUGAAAACUCCUUUUUUUUAGAGCAUGAAAGAUAAAUGUCCUGAGAUGAAGCUGAGUCCCCUUUUAGUUCUCCUGCCCCCACCCUUGCUAUUAGCGCUGGCGGCCCCUCUUUGCCGUAGAGCACAGUGACUGGAGGGUGGUGACAAGAGCCUCCUGAACACAGCCUUGAAGAUCUUCAGAAAUGAGGUCCACAUACUGGGUUUCAGCUGAAAGGCAUUGUGCUUCCCUGGCUACAAGCCUCCUUACAGCCCCUGGUUGGCAUGACUAACCAUCUAAUUCUGGAGAAAUGGGAACUCAUUGAGUGAUCUGGCUUCCUCCAGAGAGCAGCCCAUUUGUUUCCUGAAGUGACUGGUCCACUGGGAAGUGGGCCAGGAUGAACCUUUGAAGUGCUCGAUGGCAUGAGGAGGAGAAAGAAGAGAAAGCACAGUAGAGCAGCCAGGGACUCUGACGGGGAUGAAAAGUUCACGUCCUUGUUAAGAACAAAGAUUAGAUCAAAGCUAGCAGAUACACAGCAUACAGACCACUACCGCAAAUCUGCCGCCCAGGGCAGACAUUGCCAAUCAACCACAGCACUUAAUCCUCCCUGAGCUACAGCCUCAGAAUAUUCCUCAGUGCAGCUCCAGGCCACCUUCCCAUCCCUUGCCAGUGUCACUGGCGCUGAAUCUCAUUUAUCAUCCCUGGAGUACUCUGGCAGGUGGUGCUAACUCUCCAGACAAGUCCACUAGGACCCCGUGAAUGCAGUGAUCAUGACUGACUCUGGUGUGCACACCAAAAGGUGCUGUUGGGUCAGUCUUGUCAUUAACUCCCUCCAGCUCACGGAGACAUCAUUCCUCCUAGCAUCAGAGAAGCUCCCAGUUGGGUGUGGCUCUACCCUCUACCAGAAGGCACAGGAGAGGUCAUCGUCUCAUCAACUUCAUCUGAGUCAUAGAGCCCUUUCUCCAAGCCAAAACAGAGUAGGAGUUCAACCUACCAAACUGUAGUGGAACUAUUGUGCUUGAGAAGGAGGUGACCGUCCCAAGCUGCAGCCACCCAGGGAUGCCUUGCCUGAUGGAUGCCUUGACCACUGAAGGACUUCCUCGGAACACUGAGGAACUUCCUGUGGGACAGAAGGAGGUCAGUGAUCUUCUCCAAGCCCCAGUGUUUCACAGAUGGGGAAACUGAGGCCAGAGAGCAGAUGUGACUGGACAAAACUCAUCCAGACAACAAGGGGCCGACUCAAGAACCUUUGAGUCUCCUGACUCUUGGUCCAACCAACCAACCCAGUGGCCAGUGUUUGAUCCCUUCUUUCCUCCGAGGAUGUAGACUCCCUGAAUUUCUGCUGCUGCUCCCUGGCUUCAGUCUUGUCUGUCAGCCUAUAUCCCCCAUUUCUAGAUCAGCAGCCUAAUACUUCACCUCUGCUUCCGAUUCACCAGACUGCCUCAUGAAUACCUCCACAGUGAGCUUCACAAGGGCCCCAAACUCAUCAUCCAACCUGAACACCCAAAAUUCCUCCUUCCCAUCAGCUCCCACCCAGCAUUCCCACUGCCUAACAGCCCCACCGGCCCCUGUAGUUGUUCAAGCCAUGAAGCUGAGGUCAUCCUUGAUUCUUCCCUCCACCAGUAAGUGGUUGCUCUGGCCUUUCACCUUGAUUCUGACCUUGACCUCCAUCCAUUUGUCUCCAUCCCCGCUGCCAUUUCCUUAUUUUAAGCCACUUGCAGUUUCCCCCUGGAUUUCAGCUAUAGCCCUUUAACUGAUCUCUCUGGCUCCAGCUUUCUCCCCCACCAUUAUUUAGGAUCUGGCCAACAUAAUCUUUCUAAAACACAAAUUCGGAAGUUACUCCCUGGCAUAGUUUACUACAUUGUUUGUAAUCUGACUCAUUAACCUCUUUGGACAAUCUUUCAGGAUUGCCUGAGCCAGACUCCUACAAGACAGAACUACUUUGUGUCCACACUGUGGAGAUGUGUAUGUAUAUGUGUAUAUCAAGGUCUAGACUUUUCCAAGCAGUUCCCUGUGCCUGGAACAAUUUCUCCUCCUUUUCUACCUAGCUCACCAUUCCCCAUGCUUCAAGGCUCUCCUCAGCUGUCAGUUAGCAACGUCCUUCCCUGUCCCUAGUACUCUACACUACAGUGACCUCCAUGAGUCUCCCCAGCAACUACCCUACCUGU